AUUGAACGCUGGCGGCAGGCCUAACACAUGCAAGUCGAGCGAGCGGCGGACGGGUGAGUAAUGUAUGGGGAUCUGCCCGAUAGAGGGGGAUAACUACUGGAAACGGUUGCUAAUACCGCAUCCUAUCGGAAGGACCACUAUGGGAUUAGCUAGUAGUUUGGGUAAAGGCUCACCUAGGCGACGAUCUCUAGCUGGUCUGAGAGGAUGAUCAGCCACACUGGGACUGAGACACGGCCCAGACUCCUACGGGAGGCAGCAGUGGGGAAUAUUGCACAAUGGGCGCAAGCCUGAUGCAGCCAUGCCGCGUGUAUGAAGAAGGCCUUAGGGUUGUAAAGUACUUUCAGCGGGGAGGCGUUACCCGCAGAAGAAGCACCGGCUAACUCCGUGCCAGCAGCCGCGGUAAUUC
rnacentral:rRNA from 1 species